rnacentral:misc_RNA from 1 species
UCUCCGUUGGUGAACCAGCGGAGGGAUCAUUACAGAGUUGCAAAACUCCCAAACCAUUGUGAACGUUACCUAUCCCGUUGCUUCGGCGGGCGGCCCGGGCCCCGCGCCCGGCGCCCCCCGGCCCCCCGUGGGCGCCCGCCGGAGGUAAACCAAACCCUUAAAUUGCAUGGCCUCUCUGAGUCUUCUGUACUGAAUAAGUCAAAACUUUCAACAACGGAUCUCUUGGUUCUG